rnacentral:rRNA from 1 species
UGAGGAAUAUUGGUCAAUGGGCGAGAGCCUGAACCAGCCAAAUCGCGUGAAGGAAGACUGCCUUAUGGGUUGUAAACUUCUUUUAUACAGGAAUAAAAAAGGGGACGUGUCCCUUAUUGCAUGUACUGUAUGAAUAAGCAUCGGCUAACUCCGUGCCAGCAGCCGCGGUAAUACGGAGGAUGCGAGCGUUAUCCGGAUUUAUUGGGUUUAAAGGGUGCGCAGGCGGGCUUUUAAGUCAGCGGUGAAAUCUCGGGGCUUAACUCCGAAACUGCCGUUGAAACUGGGAGUCUUGAGUAUGGAUGAAGUAGGCGGAAUUCGUUGUGUAGCGGUGACAUGCUUAGAUAUAACGAGGAACUCCGAUUGCGUAGGCAGCUUACUAAGCCAUAACUGACGCUCAAGCACGAAAGCGUGGGGAUCAAACAGGAUUAGAUACCCCUGGUAGUCCACGCCGUAAACGAUGAUUACUAGUUGUAUGCGAUAUACCGUAUGUGACUAAGCGAAAGCGAUAAGUAAUCCACCUGGGGAGUACGCCGGCAACGGUGAAACUUAAAUGAAUUGACGGGGUCAUAGCUGUUUCCUG